AAAUAGUGCCGACUCAUAGUAAACGAUAAUUUCCUAUUACUUACUCUUGAAAAAUUAGAAUUACUACUCUCUUUCAUUGGAUAUUGAGUAUUUGUCAAUAAGAGAGUUGAAGGUGAAAACAGAUUUGAUGAGAUUGGAUUGAAGUGUGCAACAUAUCUUUCCCUCUAAGAAUUGUUGGAGGACAUGGAAGCAAGAGUCGAGGUUGAAGAAGAAGAAACCGAGCUUGGAGAGGUUUGGGUUGGAGUUAGAGAGGGGGAUGGAGAAGACAAUGAGUUAGAGGGUGUCCAUGUGGAUGAAGUUGAGUUGGUCCAACGGGAUAAUGGGACAACCAUGUUUAUGAUGCUAGUGAAAUAAAUUUCCGCCACGAAAAUCAGAGAGAACAAUGACAAGAGGAGGAAAAGGAAGAUGGACUCCAUCAUUAGUUUCCCCAAAUCUACUGUUCAUAACGAGUGUCAACAAUGUAAAUGUAAAUGAGCGAACAUUGGUAUUGACUAGUAGCUCACGCUAAAUUUUACAUCGACUAAUUAAUGCUAAAUAACAUGACUUACUUGGAUGGCCAUUAUUGUCGGUAAAAAAAAUGUCAUCAUUAGAGUAAAGUCGACGCUACACGAGUGUCAUCCCAUGGUUGACGCUAAUUACAUCCUUAACAUCAGUUUUCUAGUUUAGCAUCAGCUAAGCCUCAUGGUAAUUGUUAAUUUUCUUAUAGUGAUAUAUUUAUAUAUUUAAGCCCUCUUUUAAUGUCUAGUAGCAAUAGAGC
rnacentral:lncRNA from 1 species